AACGAACGCUGGCGGCAUGCCUAACACAUGCAAGUCGAACGAGAUCUUCGGGUCUAGUGGCGCACGGGUGCGUAACGCGUGGGAAUCUGCCCUUUGGUUCGGAAUAACAGUUGGAAACGACUGCUAAUACCGGAUGAUGACGAAAGUCCAAAGAUUUAUCGCCAGAGGAUGAGCCCGCGUAGGAUAGCUAGUUGGUGUGGUAAAGGAGCACCAAGGCGACGAUCCUUAGCUGGUCUGAGAGGAUGAUCAGCCACACUGGGACUGGGACACGGCCCAGACUCCUACGGGAGGCAGCAGUGGGGAAUAUUGGACAAUGGGCGAAAGCCUGAUCCAGCAAUGCCGCGUGAGUGAUGAAGGCCUUAGGGUUGUAAAGCUCUUUUACCCGGGAUGAUAAUGACAGUACCGGGAGAAUAAGCUCCGGCUAACUCCGUGCCAGCCGCCGCCGUAA
rnacentral:rRNA from 1 species